AGCGCUCGCUCUCAUUUUUGUCUAAUAAGGGAUCUUUGCCGCAUGUUUGGCCCGGUAAAGUUUGCUUUUUUCGCUGCGACAUUAGUUCGGAGAAGCUCCGUGUGUGUGCUGGAAGUGCGCUGAACGUUUGUGCUUUGGAUAAUUUCCGACUUUGUAGCAAGAGGACCCUUCUCUCUCCCACGCAUGCAUAGUAUCCGGAGCAUAAACCAGGACCCUGCUGGACUUCAUGAUGACCCUGUCCAGCCUCUCAGUGAUGCUGCUGCAUUGUCAAAACAUCAAAGAAUAGAUGACUCCAUUCCUGGACCGGGACGUUUCCAACCUGUUCUCCUCUUCCAACCCCCCACCUCUCCACUCACCACAACUGGCCAUGGCAGAUGACUAUUCAACAGGAGUCUUGUUCUGAUUGCGGUCCCUUCCAUUAAACAGCUACAACUGCA